rnacentral:rRNA from 1 species
CAGUCGCCGCGGUAAUACGUAGGUGGCAAACGUUGUCCGGAAUUAUUGGGCGUAAAGGGCUCGCAGGCGGUUUCUUAAGUCUGAUGUGAAAGCCCCCGGCUCAACCGGGGAGGGUCAUUAGAAACUGGGAAACUUGAGUGCAGAAGAGGAGAGUGGAAUUCCACGUGUAGCGGUGAAAUGCGUAGAGAUGUGGAGGAACACCAGUGGCGAAGGCGACUCUCUGGUCUGUAACUGACGCUGAGGAGCGAAAGCGUGGGGAGCGAACAGGAUUAGAGACCCCAGUAGUCCCUGUCUCUUAUAC